UACGUAGGGUGCAAGCGUUAAUCGGAAUUACUGGGCGUAAAGCGUGCGCAGGCGGUUGUGCAAGACAGGUGUGAAAUCCCCGGGCUUAACCUGGGAACUGCACUUGUGACUGCACAGCUGGAGUACGGCAGAGGGGGAUGGAAUUCCGCGUGUAGCAGUGAAAUGCGUAGAUAUGCGGAGGAACACCGAUGGCGAAGGCAGUCCCCUGGGCUGACACUGACGCUGAGGCGCGAAAGCCAGGGGAGCAAACGGG
rnacentral:rRNA from 1 species